rnacentral:lncRNA from 1 species
UCCAAGUACUUAAAAUAAAAGCAAAGAUAAGCAUUGAUUCUCUCCUUGCUUAUGUUCCUUAAUAGAUAAAACUAAACUGUGAUUUUAAAAAAAAAUGAGAAUGAGGACUAAUUCUAGAUACUCCCAUAAUGAUAUUCAUCUUCACAAAUCCAUCUUAUUUCAUUCAUUGACCUAAUUUGGUUCAUGAGAAACUUAAAAUAAGUAUGUCAAGGCAAUAGAGAAUAAGAGAUAAAAAUGAAUGUAGCUAUUACUUAAAAAUAAUAUUAUGCACCAGGAAAUGUUCUAAGUACUUAAGAUUAUUUACUCCAUUUAAUUUUCACAUUCUUUAUCUGAAGUAUGUACUACUAUUUUCCCUUUAUAGGUAUGAGAAGACUGAGUCUCAAGGAUGGCAACUGAAUAAAGUUCCUGUGGUUUGUAAAUGGUAGACUAGGAUUUGAAACCAGAGAUAAUUGUCUCAAAAUUCCUGGCUCUUCGCCAUAAUAUGUGCCACCUCUAGACCUCAGUGCAUCAUUUUUCUCCACUAAGAAGAUUUAGUAUUCAUGCAGAGGAAAAAAAAAUCACAUUACUUCGAAGGACAAGAUUGAUGGGACCUCGGGAAAAAAAAUAAUGAUUGAAAUUCUCAGCUGCUCUCCAAGGUGAUUAAAUCCUAAUUGGGGGAAGGGCCUCACUUGGAACCUGCAGGCUACAGCUGGAUGGUUUUGUGGGCUCCAAAGGAAAUACAGUUGGAUCUAUUGCAUUCUGCAAUUGCUUUAGGCAGUUCUGUAUCGAAGGCUUACAAUUCGGUAAUAGGAAGGCUGACACUGUGAUGAUUUCUACCCUCCCUAAUUAUUCUAUGAUGUUUGUUGAUGUGCAUAAGCCCAGGUUCUGAAGCGUCAUUUAAGAAGGGAUAGAGGACCUCUCAUUUAGGUGAACAGAGCUCAAUUUUAGAGGGAGUUGACAUUCCAUCCCCCUCCUGAAAUGUAUUGCCCAUCCAACCUUUGAGCCUGAUGCCUUCAGGCUGUCAUCAUUAUUUAUCAAUAGAAGAUGACUUAUAAGGGUGAAGAACUGACAAAGUCUUAUAAUAUUUAAGCAGCAAUUUAUAAUUUAGAUUAUCUUCAGACACAAAAUCUCAGAAAAGAAGUUCACAUAUUUUCAAGAAAGAAACUUUCCCAUUUUUCCAUUUUGCAGAUUGAGAAAAUGAGAUAAAAAGUGUUACAUGCUUUGUCAAAGAUGACCUAGGCUAUAAAGAGCAAACUUGUGAGUUUUUGUUUUGUUUUUGAGUUGUGCUUUUCUGAGUUUUAAAAGAGCGAUAUUCCAUUUUUGUGUCAAAUUAGCUUAGCAAUUUUUUCACAUAAUGGUUACAAAAAAGGUGAUAAAUCCAUAACUCAUUUAAUGGAUCUUUUUUAGACAUCUGCCAUCUGCCAGUGCUGAAUAAAACAAAUGCUUUUCCUGUCUUCUGGGAGCUUAUAAUUGAGGAGUAAAGAAAAAUUCUGAAAAAGUAAUUGUAAGUAAGAGUCAGAAGACUGAUUUGAUUCUUGUAAACAAUAUGAGAAAUUGAGAGAGAAGCACAUUAUUGUUUUUCAACAGAUGUCAUUUGAGUUUGGAGAAGGGCAAAGGAAAGAAGAUAAUCACUGGAAGACAACCUGAGAAAAUAAAAAACAAAACAAAACAGAUUUUGUUAAAUGCUCAACUUAACUGAACACUUUGACUCCAUUUUUUAUGUUUGAUCUCUGACAGCUUUCAGGACCCACCUCUCUUUUAUUCCAUUUCCACACAUAAAAAAAGUCUGAUGCUCCCUUCCAUGGCACCCAUGGUAACAUCAAACAAAGAAAACCCUGGCCCCCCAUGGGAGAACAGUUCUGCUAGUCCAUCCAUUAACCACAAUACAAACCAAAGCCAUCGCCUCUCACUCAGCACAAGAGGCUCUGGACCAACUUUGGUACCUGCAUUACCCAUUACCCCAGAAAGCCCUAUUUUGUGAGAAACAAACUUUUUGUAUCAUCUUAGUGCAGGUGUAGCAUCAUCUACCUUGACAUCUGAACCAAUUACUGAUCCAUGGGGCCAACACAAAAUAAGUGGUGCUGUAAACAGGGUAGUCAAGAUGAUCACCACCAGAUGGAGUCUCAAGGAUGGCAAAUGAAGGUCAUGUGGUUUGUAAAUGGUAGGCUAAGAUUUGAAACCAGAGCCAUUUGUCUCAACAUUUUUAGCUCUCAGCCACAAUAUGUACUGCCAUCUGCCAGUGCUGAAGAAAACAAAUGCUUUUCUAUUUUUCUGGAAGAAAAUGGGAGUCCUCUCUUCCUUUUGACUUGCUACUACUGGCUCUGUUCCCUGCCGGUGAGCAUGCCCUUGGAGCUGAUGCCUGCUUGCUAAUAUGCACCUUGAGCUGUACUGCUUCCUGCCAAUAAGCUUGGGCUUUGAGCUGUGCUGUGCUGUGGUGCUGUGACCAAGUCCUAUUAAGCUUUUAUUUUAGAUUUAUUGUCCGAAGUUGCAAGUUUCAAUAAUUGGCAUGUAGGGACAGAAAUAUGAAAUUGGGACCCUUCUUAAAAAGUAUCUGGGUCAUGUGUCUUAGCUUGCAACUAUCUUUUUGUCUCAAUAGUCAACAAUAAUAUAAUGUGUAUUUAAAAGUAACUAAGAGAAUCUUAUAUUUGAUUCAAGCAUAAGUCAUAAUGAAUAUUAUUCAGAGAAAGACUCUCGCCCUGUUACCAUUUGUUAUCUGUUUCAAUCAGGCACUGAUCCCCAUUCUAUAGAACUCUUGGGAGACAGACUGAUACAUUAUAAAAAAUAUGAGCUCAUCAAGUAGCCAUUAACGUGGAAGAAGAGGUCUACAUUCCUAAAACCAAAUGACUUAGUGGAAUCGUAGGAGGCCUCACGUGUUUUUGCUACUACUGCCCAUGCUUCUGUCAAACAAAAUAUUUGUAUCAUUGGGGUUAGAAGAGAAAAUAUGCAUGAUACCCCAUGGCAGAGAAUAGUUUACUUUCAGCCCUGUCCAAAAAAUGGAAGACCACAAUCUUAAUAUAUAAGUAAAAUGGACUAACAAAGACUCUGGAUUCAAUUGGGUUUUAUGGGUUAUCAAUAUGUCAGGGGUUAAUUCAAAAUCAGUUUAAGCCUAGGGUCCCUAAAUCCCAAGAAAGCAACAAUCACAUUAGGGAGGCUUCUAAUGCAGACAAUAUUUAUCUGGGGACCUCUGGACAAGAAAAAAAACAAAACUUAUAAAUAUGGGCAGGGUAGAGAGGACUUCAUGAGCUAUAUCUAAUAAUCACACACACACACAUAUGCACAUGCACGUGCACAUAUACACACUCCUCGAUACCAGGGGAAAAAUAAAAAUUGAAACAGAGGUCUGCUAAUUGACUCAACUAAAAAUAAAAAAAUUAUUAUAGAGGAAAUUUACUUUGGAAUCAUACUCCCAGAUCACUAGAUAUUCAAGUUUACGUUAUACUGAACCUUAUUUUAUCAGCACGUUGAGAAGGCAAUCUUUGAUAUGACGGGCCUUGUGGUUCUUGCUCUAUAGCAGAGUAUCGUUGAGUCCAUGUGUUACAUCUUUCUCUACUACAAACAACUACUUGUUUACAUACAAAAUUCUUGAAUUUCUUACACAGUGUGCACAUAAGUUUCUUUUUGUAUUUUGUUCAGUUAAAUAGACCUUACCUUAAAUAUUAGCUAAGUAUCUUUCAUUUUUCAAAUACAUGAAAUAUUAGUUGAAUUGAGAGAUAACUUGAGCUUCAAAUUUUUUUUCUAAUAAAUAUAAUGUUUGUGAAAAUGGGGAAAAACCUGCUUUUGUCCAGGGUGUUUCAUGUUGAAGUAAAACAAAGUAUUCAUUAACCAUCUAAUAUAUAUUUAUUGUCUGUCUACAUGUAUCAUUUUGUAAGUAUGUAACCAUGAAAAACAAACUCUGAGUCUUUAAGUGUUUCUGAUUUGCUGUAUGCAAGCUAGCUACACUUAAGGUGCUACUCUUCCUUAGAUACGACUAAUGCAGCAAAGUGUGGUCUGUUCACUCCACACACCCUGCCGUGGUUUGAAAGAGAUGCAAAUUAGGUAAACUUCAUAAGUUUCAUCUGUAGCCAUCUCAUGAUUGUUUCUUUGAGUCAUAAUUCAUGCAUUCAUACUCAUGCUUUAAUUUAAAAUAUUGAUUGUUUUAAUUUACAAGAAAAGGCAAACCUCCUCAUUGAAAAGUGGGCCAAUGUCAUGAACAGACACCUUUCAAAAAAAGCAUACAUGCGGCCAUGGCCAACAAGCAUGUGAAGAAAAGCUCAACGUCACUGAUCCCCAAAGAAAUGCAAAUCAAAACCAUGAGAUACUAUCUCACACCAAUCAGAAUGGCCAUUAUUAAAAAUAAACAGG